UACGGGGGGAGCAAGCGUUGUUCGGAUUUACUGAGCGUAAAGGGCGCGUAGGCGGUCAGCACAAGUCAGUUGUGAAAUCUCCGGGCUUAACUCGGAAAGGUCAACUGAUACUGUGCGACUAGAGUGCAGAAGGGGCAACUGGAAUUCUCGGUGUAGCGGUGAAAUGCGUAGAUAUCGAGAGGAACACCUGCGGCGAAGGCGGGUUGCUGGGCUGACACUGACGCUGAUGCGCGAAAGCUAGGGGAGCGAACGGG
rnacentral:rRNA from 1 species